rnacentral:rRNA from 1 species
AGAGUUUGAUCAUGGCUCAGAUUGAACGCUGGCGGCAGGCCUAACACAUGCAAGUCGAGCGGUAGCACAGAGAGCUUGCUCUCGGGUGACGAGCGGCGGACGGGUGAGUAAUGUCUGGGAAACUGCCUGAUGGAGGGGGAUAACUACUGGAAACGGUAGCUAAUACCGCAUAAUGUCGCAAGACCAAAGUGGGGGACCUUCGGGCCUCAUGCCAUCAGAUGUGCCCAGAUGGGAUUAGCUAGUAGGUGGGGUAACGGCUCACCUAGGCGACGAUCCCUAGCUGGUCUGAGAGGAUGACCAGCCACACUGGAACUGAGACACGGUCCAGACUCCUACGGGAGGCAGCAGUGGGGAAUAUUGCACAAUGGGCGCAAGCCUGAUGCAGCCAUGCCGCGUGUAUGAAGAAGGCCUUCGGGUUGUAAAGUACUUUCAGCGGGGAGGAAGGNAUUGACGUUACCCGCAGAAGAAGCACCGGCUAACUCCGUGCCAGCAGCCGCGGUAAUACGGAGGGUGCAAGCGUUAAUCGGAAUUACUGGGCGUAAAGCGCACGCAGGCGGUCUGUCAAGUCGGAUGUGAAAUCCCCGGGCUCAACCUGGGAACUGCAUUCGAAACUGGCAGGCUAGAGUCUUGUAGAGGGGGGUAGAAUUCCAGGUGUAGCGGUGAAAUGCGUAGAGAUCUGGAGGAAUACCGGUGGCGAAGGCGGCCCCCUGGACAAAGACUGACGCUCAGGUGCGAAAGCGUGGGGAGCAAACAGGAUUAGAUACCCUGGUAGUCCACGCCGUAAACGAUGUCGAUUUGGAGGUUGUGCCCUUGAGGCGUGGCUUCCGGAGCUAACGCGUUAAAUCGACCGCCUGGGGAGUACGGCCGCAAGGUUAAAACUCAAAUGAAUUGACGGGGGCCCGCACAAGCGGUGGAGCAUGUGGUUUAAUUCGAUGCAACGCGAAGAACCUUACCUGGUCUUGACAUCCACAGAACUUGCCAGAGAUGGCUUGGUGCCUUCGGGAACUGUGAGACAGGUGCUGCAUGGCUGUCGUCAGCUCGUGUUGUGAAAUGUUGGGUUAAGUCCCGCAACGAGCGCAACCCUUAUCCUUUGUUGCCAGCGGU